UACGGGGGGAGCAAGCGUUGUUCGGAUUUACUGGGCGUAAAGAGCUCGUAGGCGGUUUGUCACGUCGGAUGUGAAAACCCGAGGCUUAACCUCGGGCCUGCAUUCGAUACGGGCUGACUAGAGUUCGGUAGGGGAGACUGGAAUACCUGGUGUAGCGGUGAAAUGCGCAGAUAUCAGGAGGAACACCGGUGGCGAAGGCGGGUCUCUGGGCCGAUACUGACGCUGAGGAGCGAAAGCGUGGGGAGCGAACAGG
rnacentral:rRNA from 1 species